rnacentral:rRNA from 1 species
UACGUAGGGGCAAGCGUUGUCCGGAUUUAUUGGGCGUAAAGAGCGUGUAGGCGGCCAUACAGGUCAGCUGUGAAAACUCGAGGCUCAACCUCGAGACGUCGGUUGAAACCGUAUGGCUAGAGUCCGGAAGAGGAGAGUGGAAUUCCCGGUGUAGCGGUGAAAUGCGCAGAUAUCGGGAAGAACACCCGUGGCGAAGGCGGCUCUCUGGGACGGUAUUGACGCUGAGACGCGAAAGCGUGGGGAGCGAACAGG